AAGCCCAUUAGCGCCGAUGGUACUGCCACUGGUGGGAGAGUAGGUCGUUGCCUUUC
rnacentral:rRNA from 1 species